rnacentral:tRNA from 1 species
CCUCCUUUAAAGAAAUCGGAACAAGGCGUGAAAGCGUCCGCACAAUCUGCCUAAUCGCUGUAAAGAUGGACCGCGGGUCUGUAGCUCAGUUGGUUAGAGCGCACCCCUGAUAAGGGUGAGGUCGGAAGUUCAAAUCUUCCCAGACCCACCACCUUCAUGUGUGUAUUCGCAAAAAGGUAACAAGGGGCCAUAGCUCAGAUGGGAGAGCACCUGCUUUGCAAGCAGGGGGUCGGCGGUUCGAUCCCGCCUGGCUCCACCAGGAGAUAGACCACGGCGGCAAUGUGCCGCGGUGGUUUAUCUCCUGGUGGAGACGCCACGGGACGUUCUUUUACAAUUUAGGUAGUAGUGAUGUACGACGGUGAAGUCCGGACAGCGUUUGACGUCCUGA